CACAGACUGGACACAUGUUCUCUAGCUAAAGUAUCAAUGACACCAUUUUUUUCUUCUUUCAUAAAAAAAAAAUAAUUUUACAACAAAUUGGAGCCGACCACGAGGAUAUUGGAGUGAAGAAGAAAGUGAAGAACUUCUGACGCCGGUUCAAUAUACACUACUGUGCUUUUAUAGAGUUCUCCAACUCCAAGCAGCGCAGUUAAUGCUAAGGUUGCUAUUGGAUACCAACCCUCUGGUGACGUAUUUACCUCGGAAUCCUCGCAUGCAUUUAUAUACCAAAGACGUCUUAGGAAAUGACACUUGCUAUCGUGCCAACCGUCACUUCAUUAAUUCUGUUUAUUUUAAAUUGUCUGCAUCUAAGACAGCAGCUUAAGUAGCAGCGUAAAGAAAUCGACGUAUGUUGGGGGUAUAGCUCAGUGGUAGAGCAUUCGAC